rnacentral:rRNA from 1 species
AUUGAACGCUGGCGGCAGGCCUAACACAUGCAAGUCGAACGAGAGUCGGACGGGUGAGUAAUGUCUUGGAAACUGCCCGAUGGAGGGGGAUAACUACUGGAGACGGUAGCUAAUACCGCAUGCCCUCUGAUGUGACCAGAGGGGAUUAGCUAGUAGGUGGGGUAACGGCUCACCUAGGCGACGAUCUCUAGCUGGUCUGAGAGGAUGACCAGCCACACUGGAACUGAGACACGGACCAGACUCCUACGGGAGGCAGCAGUGGGGAAGAUUGCACAAGGGGGGCAAGCCGGAUGCAGCCAUGCCGCGGGAAGGAAGAAGGCCUUCGGGGUGUAAAGUACUUUCAGCGAGGAGGCGUUAAUCACAGAAGAAGAACCGGCUAACUCCGUGCCAGCAGCCGCGGUAAUAC